CCUACGGGAGGCAGCAGUGAGGAAUAUUGGUCAAUGGACGAGAGUCUGAACCAGCCAAGUAGCGUGAAGGAUGACUGCCCUAUGGGUCGUAAACCUCUUUUAUAUGGGAAUAAAACGUUCCACGUGUGGGCUUUUGUAUGUACCAUAUGAAUAAGGAUCGGCUAACUCCGUGCCAGCAGCCGCGGUAAUACGGAGGAUCCGAGCGUUAUCCGGAUUUUUUGGGGUUAAAGGGGGCGUAGGUGGAUUGUUAAGUCAGUUGGGAAAGUUUGGGGCUCAAACGUAAAAUUGCAGUUGAAACUGGCAGUCUUGAGUAGAGUAGAGGUGGGCGGAAUUCGUGGUGUAGCGGUGAAAUGCAUAGAUAUCACGAAGAACUCCGAUUGCGAAGGCAGUACACUGGACUGCAACUGACGCUGAGGCUCGAAAGUGUGGGUAUCGAACAGGAUUAGAUACCCGAGUAGUC
rnacentral:rRNA from 1 species